rnacentral:lncRNA from 1 species
AUGUCCCCACUGAUGUCCCCAAUGCCCCCAAUGGUGUCCCCAAUGCCCCCAAUGAUGUCCCCAAUGCCCUCAAUGUCCCCACUGAUGUCCCCAAUGCCCCCAAUGAUGUCCCCAAUGUCCCCACUGAUGUCCCCAAUGGUGUCCCCAUGGGGUGUCCUUAAGGAGUGUCCCCACUGCUGUCCCCAAUGGGUGUCCCCACUGAUGUCCCCAAAGGAUGAGCCCACAGGGGGUCCCCAAUGACGUCACCAAUGACGUCACCGAGCUGACCCCCCCCCCCUUCGGUGUCCCCAUCGCUGUGUUCCAACCCCCCCCCCCCGGGGAGGGACACCAAUGUGUGACAGAGUCACGUGACACCGCCGGGGGGGACACCAAUGUGUGACAGAGUCACGUGACACCACCGGGGGGGGGGGGGGGGGGGGGCCCGGCACUGUGACAACGUCACGUGACACCGCCGGGGACACCGAUGUGUGAUAACGUCACGUGACACCGCCGGGGGAAACCAACGUGCGAUGAGGUCACGUGACACCAACGGGGGAGGGGGCGCUGUGACAGCGUCACGUGACACCGCCGGGGACACCAAUGUGCGACGAGGUCACGUGACACCGCCCGGGAACAGCGCUGUGACAGCGUCACGUGACACCGCCGGGGCACACGGAUGCCUGAUGAGGUCACGUGACACCACCGGGUUUUUUGGGGGGGGGGGGGGGGGGGCGGCACUGUGACAACGUCACGUGACACCGCCGGGGACACCGAUGUGCGAUGAGGUCACGUGAUACCGCCGGGGACACCAAUAUGCGAUGAGGUCACGUGACACCACCGAAGGGGGGGCGCUGUGACAGCGUCACGUGACUCCGCCGGGGACAUCAAUGUGUGAUGAGAUCACGUGACACCAACGGGGGAUACCAAUAUGCGAUGAGGUCACGUGACACCACCGGGUUUGGGGGGUGGGGGCUGUGACAGCGUCACGUGACACCGCCGGGGGGACCAACGUGUGAUAAAGUCACGUGAUACCGCCGGGGGACACCAAUAUGCGAUGAGGUCACGUGACACCGCCGGGGGACACCAAUGUGUCACCUCCGGACGUCGCUGUGCCCCAUAGCGCUGUCACUGUGCCCCAUAGCGCUGUCACUGAGCCCCAUAGCGCUGCCACUGUGCCCCAUAGCGCUGUCACUGCGCCCCAUAGCGCCGCCACUGCGCCCCAUAGAGCCAUCCCUGUGCCCCAUAGCGCCAUCCCUGUGCCCCAUAGCGCCGGCACUGUGCCCCAUAGCGCUGCCACUGUGCCCCAUAGCGCUGGCACUGCGCCCCAUAGCGCUGCCACUGUGCCCCAUAGCACCACCGCUGUGCCCCAUAGAGCCAUCCCUGUGCCCCAUAGCACUGCCACUGCGCCCCAUAGCGCCGCCACUGUGCCCCAUAGAGCCAUCCCUGUGCCCCAUAGCGCUGCCGCUGUGCCCCAUAGAGCCAUCCCUGUGCCCCAUAGCGCUGUCCCUGUGCCCCAUAGAGCCAUCCCUGGGCCCCAUAGCGAGACCCCUGUGCCCCAUAGCGCUGUCACUGUGCCCCAUAGCGCUGCCACUGUGCCCCAUAGAGCCACCGCUGUGCCCCAUAGCGCUGCCACUGCGCCCCAUAGCACCACCGCUGUGCCCCAUAGAGCCAUCACUGUGCCCCAUAGUGCUGUCACUGCGCCCCAUAGUGCUGCCACUGUGCCCCAUAGCGCUGCCACUGUGCCCCAUAGCACCACCGCUGUGCCCCAUAGAGCCAUCCCUGUGCCCCAUAGCGCCGUCACUGUGCCCCAUAGCGCUGCCACUGUGCCCCAUAGCGCCGCCACUGUGCCCCAUAGCGCUGCCACUGUGCCCCAUAGCGCUGCCACUGUGCCCCAUAGCACCACCGCUGUGCCCCAUAGAGCCAUCCCUGUGCCCCAUAGAGCCACCGCUGUGCCCCAUAGAGCCAUCCCUGUGCCCCAUAGCACUGCCACUGCUCCCCAUAGCGCUGCCACUGUGCCCCAUAGAGCCAUCCCUGUGCCCCAUAGCGCCACCACUGGGCCCCAUAGUGCCACCAUUCUGCCCUACAGAGCCACCCCUGUGCCCCAUAGCACUGUCACUGCGCCCCAUAGCACUUUCACUGCGCCUCAUAGAGCCAUCCCUGUGCCCCAUAGCACUGCCACUGCGCCCCAUAGCGCCGCCACUGUGCCCCAUAGAGCCAUCCCUGUGCCCCAUAGCGCUGCCACUGUGCCCCAUAGAGCCAUCCCUGUGCCCCAUAGCGCUGCCGCUGUGCCCCAUAGAGCCAUCCCUGUGCCCCAUAGCGCUGUCCCUGUGCCCCAUAGAGCCAUCCCUGGGCCCCAUAGCGAGACCCCUGUGCCCUAUAGCGCUGUCACUGUGCCCCAUAGCGCUGCCACUGUGCCCCAUAGAGCCACCGCUGUGCCCCAUAGAGCCACCGCUGUGCCCCAUAGCGCUGCCACUGCGCCCCAUAGCACCACCGCUGUGCCCCAUAGCACCACCGCUGUGCCCCAUAGUGCUGUCACUGCGCCCCAUAGUGCUGCCACUGUGCCCCAUAGCGCUGCCACUGUGCCCCAUAGAGCCAUCCCUGUGCCCCAUAGCGCCGUCACUGUGCCCCAUAGCGCCGCCACUGCGCCCCAUAGCGCUGCCACUGUGCCCCAUAGCACCACCGCUGUGCCCCAUAGAGCCAUCCCUGUGCCCCAUAGCGCUGUCUCUGCGCCCCAUAGCACCACCGCUGUGCCCCAUAGCACCACCGCUGUGCCCCAUAGUGCUGUCACUGCGCCCCAUAGUGCUGCCACUGUGCCCCAUAGCGCUGCCACUGUGCCCCAUAGAGCCAUCCCUGUGCCCCAUAGCGCCGUCACUGUGCCCCAUAGCGCCAUCCCUGUGCCCCAUAGAACCACCGCUGUGCCCCAUAGCGCUGCCACUGCGCCCCAUAGCACCACCGCUGUGCCCCAUAGAGCCAUCCCUGUGCCCCAUAGUGCUGUCACUGCGCCCCAUAGUGCUGCCACUGUGCCCCAUAGCGCUGCCACUGUGCCCCAUAGCACCACCGCUGUGCCCCACAGAGCCAUCCCUGUGCCCCAUAGCGCCGUCACUGUGCCCCAUAGCGCUGCCACUGUGCCCCAUAGCACCACCGCUGUGCCCCAUAGAGCCAUCCCUGUGCCCCAUAGCGCUGUCUCUGCGCCCCAUAGCGCCGCCACUGUGCCCCAUAGCGGCUUCCCUGUGCCCCAUAGAACCACCGCUGUGCCCCAUAGCGCUGCCACUGUGCCCCAUAGUGCCACCAUUCUGUCCCACAGCGCCAUCCCUGUGCCCCAUAGCGCAGCCACUGUGGCCCAUAGCGCCAUCCCUGUGCCCCAUAGCGCUGCCACUGUGCCCCACAGAACCACUGCUGUGCCCCACAGAGCCAUCCCUGUGCCCCAUAGAGCCAUCCCUGUGCCCCAUAGCGCUGUCACUGUGCCCCAUAGAACCACCGCUGUGCCCCAUAGAGCCAUCCCUGGGCCCCACAGUGCCAUCCUUCUGCCCCACAGAGCCACCCCUGUGCCCCAUAGCGCUGUCACUGCGCCCCAUAGUGCUGCCACUGUGCCCCAUAGCGCUGCCACUGUGCCCCAUAGCACCACCGCUGUGCCCCACAGAGCCAUCCCUGUGCCCCAUAGCGCCGUCACUGUGCCCCAUAGCGCUGCCACUGUGCCCCAUAGCACCACCGCUGUGCCCCAUAGAGCCAUCCCUGUGCCCCAUAGCGCUGUCUCUGCGCCCCAUAGCGCCGCCACUGUGCCCCAUAGCGGCUUCCCUGUGCCCCAUAGAACCACCGCUGUGCCCCAUAGCGCUGCCACUGUGCCCCAUAGUGCCACCAUUCUGUCCCACAGCGCCAUCCCUGUGCCCCAUAGCGCAGCCACUGUGGCCCAUAGCGCCAUCCCUGUGCCCCAUAGCGCUGCCACUGUGCCCCACAGAACCACUGCUGUGCCCCACAGAGCCAUCCCUGUGCCCCAUAGAGCCAUCCCUGUGCCCCAUAGCGCUGUCACUGUGCCCCAUAGAACCACCGCUGUGCCCCAUAGAGCCAUCCCUGGGCCCCACAGUGCCAUCCUUCUGCCCCACAGAGCCACCCCUGUGCCCCAUAGCGCUGUCACUGCGCCCCAUAGUGCUGCCACUGUGCCCCAUAGCGCUGCCACUGUGCCCCACAGCGCCAUCCCUGUGCCCCACAGCGCUGUGCCCCACAGCAUCACACCCCACAGCGCUGUCCAUGUGCCCCAUAGCGCUGUCCAUGUGCCCCACAGCGCUGUGCCCCACAGCGCUGUGCCCCACAGCAUCACCCCCCAUAGCGCUCUCCAUGUGCCCCACAGCACUGCACCCCACACCCCAUAGCACCGUGUGCCCCACAGCACCAUCCUUGUGCCCCACAGCGCUGUGCCCCACAGCAUCACACCCCAUAGCGCUGUCCAUGUGUCCCACAGCACUGUGCCCCACAGCAUCACCCCCCAUAGCACUCUCCAUGUGCCCCAUAACGCUGUCCAUGUGCCCCACAGCGCUGUGCCCCACACCCCAUAGCACCGUCUGCCCCACAGCACCGCACCCCAUAGCACCGUGUGCCCCACAGCACCAUCCUUGAGCCCCACAGCGCUGUGCCCCACAGCAUCACACCCCAUAGCGCUGUCCAUGUGCCCCAUAGCGCCGUCCAUGUGCCCCAUAGCGCCCACCCCACACCUCACAGGGCCAUCCCUGUGCCCCACAGCGCUCUGCCCCACAGCACUGCACCCCACAGCGCCAUCCAUGUGCCCCACAGCGCUGUGCCCCACAGCACUGUGCCCCACAGCACUGUCCAUGUGCCCCAUAGAGGUGUGUGCCCCACAGCAUCACCCCCCAAUAGCGCUCUCCAUGUGCCCCACAGCGCUGUGCCCCACAGCAUCACACCCAUAGCGCCGUCCAUGUGCCCCACAGCGCUGUGCCCCACAGCGCCGCACCCCAUAGAGCUGUCCAUAGAGCUGUGCCCCACAGCACUGCACCCCACAGCACCGCACCCCAUAGAACUGUGUGCCCCACAGCACCGCACCCCAUAGAGCUGCCCACAGAGCUCUUUGCCCCACAGCACCACACCCCCCAUCAUCACACCCCAUAGAGCCGUCCAUAGCACUGUGUGCCCCACAGCACCGCACCCCACAGCAUCACACCCCAUAGAGCGGUCCAUAGAGCUGUGUGCCCCACAGCACUGCACCCCACAGCACCGCACCCCAAAGCAGUGCACCCCAUAGAGCUGUCCAAUUGCCCCACAGCACCGCACCCCAUAGAGCUGUCCAUAGAGCUGUGUGCCCCACAGCACCGCACCCCACAGCACUGUGUGCCCCACAGCACCGCACCCCAUAGCGCUGUGUGCCCCACAGCACUGCACCCCACAGCAUCACACCCCACAGCACUGCACCCCAUAGAGCUGUCCAUAGAGCUGUGCCCCACACCAUCGCACCCCACAGCACUGUGUGCCCCACAACACCGCACCCCACAGCACCGCACCCCAUAGAGCCGUCCAUAGAGCUGUGUGCCCCACAGCACCGUACCCCACAGCACUGUGUGCCCCACAGCACCGCAGCCCAUAGAGCCGUCCAUAGAGCUGUGUGCCCCACAGCGCUGUGUGCCCCACAGCACCGCACCCCACAGCACUGCACCCCAUAGAAGUGUCCAUAGAGCUGUGUGCCCCACAGCAUCGCACCCCAUAGAGCUGUCCAUGUGCCCCACAGCACCGCACCUCACAGCGCUGUGUGCCCCACAGCACCGCACCCCACAUCAUCACACCCCAUAGAGCCGUCCAUAGCACUGUGUGCCCCACAGCACCGCACCCCACAGCACUGCACCCCAUAACACUGCCCACAGUGCUGUGUGCCCCACAGCACUGCACCCCACAGCACUUCACCCCACAGCACUGCACCCCACAGCGCUGUGUGCCCCACAGCACUGCACCCCACAGCACUGCACCCCACAGCACUGCACCCCAUAGCGCUGUGUGCCCCACAGCACCGCACCCCACAGCACCGCACCCCACAGCACCGCACCCCACAGCACCGCACCCCACAGUGCUUUCUAUGCGCCCCACAGCACCGCACCCCACAGCACCGCACCCCAUAGAGCCGUCCAUAGAGCUGUGUGCCCCACAGCACCGCACCCCAUAGAGCUGUGUGCCCCACAGCACUGCACCCCACAGCACCACACCCCACAACACCGCACCCCAUAGAGCUGUGUGCCCCACAGCACUGCACCCCACAGCACCACACCCCACAACACCGCACCCCAUAGAGCUGUGUGCCCCACAGCACCGCACCCCACAGCACUGUGUGCCCCACAGCACCUCACCCCACAGCACCGCACCCCACAUCACUGUCCAUGUGCCCCACAGCAGUGCACCCCACAGCACUGUGUGCCCCACAGCACCGUACCCCACAGCACCGCACCCCACAGCGCUGUGUGCCCCACAGCACCGCACCCCACAUCAUCACACCCCAUAGAGCGGUCCAUAGAGCUGUAUGCCCCACAGCACCGCACCCCACAGCACUGCACCCCACAGUGCUCUGUGCCCCACAGCACUGCACCCCACAGCAGCGCACCCCACAGCACUGCACCCCAUAGAGCUGUGUGCCCCACAGCAUCGCACCCCACAUCAUCACACCCCAUAGAGCUGUCCAUAGCACUGUGUGCCCCACAGCACCGCACCCCACAGCACCGCACCCCACAGUGCUUUCUAUGCGCCCCACAGCAUCGCACCCCACAACACUGCACCCCACAGCACCGCACCCCACAGCGCUCUGUGCCCCACAGCACCGCACCCCACAUCAUCACACCCCAUAGAGCGGUCCAUAGAGCUGUAUGCCCCACAGCACCGCACCCCACAGCACUGCACCCCACAGUGCUCUGUGCCCCACAGCACUGCACCCCACAGCAGCGCACCCCACAGCACUGCACCCCAUAGAGCUGUGUGCCCCACAGCAUCGCACCCCACAUCAUCACACCCCAUAGAGCUGUCCAUAGCACUGUGUGCCCCACAGCACCGCACCCCACAGCACCGCACCCCACAGUGCUUUCUAUGCGCCCCACAGCACCGCACCCCACAGCGCUGUGUGCCCCACAGCAUCGCACCCCACAGCAUCGCAACCCACAGCAGUGCACCCCACAGCACUGUCCAUGUGCCCCACAGCACCGCGCCCCACAGCACUGUGUGCCCCACAGCAGCGCCCCCCCAUCACCAUCCACACCCCCCCCAUCGGCGCCCCCAUCGCCCCCCACAUCGCCCC